rnacentral:rRNA from 1 species
UGCCCAGUAACGGCGAGUGAAGCGGCAAAAGCUCAAAUUUGAAAUCCUGCGGGAAUUGUAAUUUGAAGGUUUCGUGGUCUGAGUCGGCCGCGCCCAAGUCCAUUGGAACAUGGCGCCUGGGAGGGUGAGAGCCCCGUAUGGCGCACGCCGACUCUUUGCACCGCGGCUCCGACGAGUCGAGUUGUUUGGGAAUGCAGCUCUAAGUGGGUGGUAAAUUCCAUCUAAAGCUAAAUAUUGGCGAGAGACCGAUAGCGAACAAGUACAGUGAUGGAAAGAUGAAAAGCACUUUGAAAAGAGAGUGAAACAGCACGUGAAAUUGUUGAAAGGGAAGGGCUUGCAAGCAGACACGGUUUUACCGGGCCAGCGUCGAAAAGGGGGGAGGAACAAGAACUCGAGAAUGUGGCGCGCACCUUCGGGCGCGCGUGUUAUAGCUCGUGUUGACGCCUCCAUCCCUUUUCGAGGCCUGCGAUUCUAGGACGCUGGCGUAAUGGUUGCAAGCCGCCCGUCUUGAAACACGGGACCAA